rnacentral:lncRNA from 1 species
CCCAGUUCCAACUGAUACAUCUACUAGGAUGGGGCAAUCUUUCUCUUGUUCGGUCAGACUCAACAGCGGUCCAUAAUGCUGCGACAGAAUGGUGCUGUGCCAGCUUCAGGCUCCAGCCUCCAGGCUCCAGGCUGCUCCAGGCUCCUCCAGGCUCCUCCAGGCUCCUCCAGGCUCCAGACUGUGGAUUCAUUCCUGAAACGCAGCCCUUUCCUGGCUGAUAAGGGUAACAAUGACUGGAUGUCUGAGCCAGUAACUUCAGUACCACCCCAAUUCGUGCUGAUUCUGAGUUGCCGCUGCUACUGAUUUGUGUUUGGCAUUUGCUGAUUGGACUGGACUGCCUCAACUGAUUCAUGGUCGAUGUCUUGGACUGGACUGUGGAUAUCCUGACAAUGAAGCUUAAUAUUGCCCCAAAGAACUACUUCUAAACAGGUCCACAUCCCCUUGUCCUAUUAACCAUCUUUCUCUCCUACAGUCGGAGGGCUGGAAGGAGGUUUGAAGUGUUUAAGAACCCCUAUUAAAG